rnacentral:lncRNA from 1 species
AAAAAAAAGAGAUAAAGAAAGACCUUUACCCCUAGCAACAGCGUUCUUCUCUCCUUCUUGAGCAGAGAUAAUCAGGGACCUUCCCCUUCAGAUUUAUUACAAAAAAACGGCGCCUCUGCUCCUGAAUAAAAAUCGAACAGACCCCAAAAACGCGGCUAUGGUUUUCAUCUUCUCCAACACUUAUACACCCUAAGCUCCUUCUUCUUCAUGGACAGCUCCAAAAACGAGAGGAUUAGCGCUGUUUCUGGCUCUUGAUUUUCACCAAAAGGAGUCCCAAACCAGAGGAUCCCAUCUCAAAAAGGGAACAAGAAAAUGGGAAAACUCUGCCUAUUUUCUAGAAUUCUCAAAUCUAGGAAUUUCGCAAACUAAAAAUGGGGUUUCAAACCGUUUUUAAUCAAAAAUUCGAAAUAAAGUCUGAUGUUCGUGUGCUACUGAGCUUAUUCUCUGCAUUUUCAAACCUUAUUUAGUCGUUGUCAUUUAUUUUUCUGCUAUAGGUAUGUGAACACUCAUCUGUUAUCUUUUAUUUUGAUGUUUAUGAAUGAAAUUUGAUUUGUUCAUGUCAAAUUUGUGCUUGUUUUCUUAGACCCAGCUUGUUAAUAGCUAAAUCUACUUGAAAUUCUAUUUCCUGAUUAAUGUCUGACGCCAUGGACAUGUUUCAUUGAAUAUUCCAAAUGUUCAGUAGCUUUGAAUGAGUUAGCACUUAUGUUUGACGGUGAUUCAUCUCCUAAAAUAAUGGCUUCUGUUCAAAAUGAUCUCACAGGAUUAAACUAAUUUCAAGUGAUACUAGUUGCUGGUUUGUUUAGCUUAAAUUGAUAUAUUGAGCUAGGUGUAUAUUUUUCAUCACUGUUAAUUUUUAAGGUCAAGUGUUCCUUUUAUUUUAUUAAUAAGAAGGUUCUGUUUAUUCAUGUGGGUUGAAAGGAUGAUUUGAAGUGAGGAGUUUUACAAUUGCUUGUAUAAGUGAAAUUUAGUUAGUUUCACAAGGCUCGAUUUGAUGAAAGUAUACAUAACUGUUGUUGGUUUGUAAUGAAGUUUUUAUGAGAUUUCACUAGCAGUAUUCAUAAUUGCUAUAAUUGUUGAAUUUCGGCUACUCAUGUGAUUUAAAUGCAAAUGUAAAUAUAAUACAAAUUCUCUUUUGUUCAUCACUAACUUUCAUCCCUGU